rnacentral:rRNA from 1 species
UACGGGGGGUGCGAGCGUUGUCCGGAAUCACUGGGCGUAAAGGGCGCGUAGGUGGCGUCGUAAGUCUGUGGUGAAAGCCCGGAGCUCAACUCCGGAACUGCCAUUGAAACUGUGAGACUUGAGGAUGAGAGAGGUGAGUGGAAUUCCCAGUGUAGAGGUGAAAUUCGUAGAUAUGGGGAGGAACACCGGUGGCGAAGGCGGCCACCUGGACGGUAACUGACGCUGAGACGCGAAAGCGUGGGUAGCAAACAGG